UACGUAGGGUGCAAGCGUUUGUCCGGAAUUAUUGGGCGUAAAGAGCUCGUAGGCGGUUUGUCGCGUCGGCUGUGAAAGCCCCGGAGCUCAACUCCGGGUCUGCAGUCGAUACGGGCAGACUUGAGUGUUGCAGGGGAGACUGGAAUUCCUGGUGUAGCGGUGAAAUGCGCAGAUAUCAGGAGGAACACCGGUGGCGAAGGCGGGUCUCUGGGCAACAACUGACGCUGAGGAGCGAAAGCGUGGGGAGCGAACAGG
rnacentral:rRNA from 1 species